AGUGCGCAGGCGCAACUGCCUGGCUCUGCUCGCUCCGGCGCUCCGGCCCAGCUCUCGCGGACAAGUCCAGACAUCGCGCGCCCCCCCUUCUCCGGGUCCGCCCCCUCCCCCUUCUCGGCGUCGUCGAAGAUAAACAAUAGUUGGCCGGCGAGCGCCUAGUGUGUCUCCCGCCGCCGGAUUCGGCGGGCUGCGUGGGACCGGCGGGAUCCCGGCCAGCCGGCCAUGGCGGGGCUGUACUCGCUGGGAGUGAGCGUCUUCUCCGACCAGGGCGGGAGGAAGUACAUGGAGGACGUUACUCAAAUCGUUGUGGAGCCCGAACCGACGGCUGAAGAAAAGCCCUCGCCGCGGCGGUCGCUGUCUCAGCCGUUGCCUCCGCGGCCGUCGCCGGCCGCCCUUCCCGGCGGCGAAGUCUCGGGGAAAGGCCCAGCGGUGGCAGCCCGAGAGGCUCGCGACCCUCUCCCGGACGCCGGGGCCUCGCCGGCACCUAGCCGCUGCUGCCGCCGCCGUUCCUCCGUGGCCUUUUUCGCCGUGUGCGACGGGCACGGCGGGCGGGAGGCGGCACAGUUUGCCCGGGAGCACUUGUGGGGUUUCAUCAAGAAGCAGAAGGGUUUCACCUCGUCCGAGCCGGCUAAGGUUUGCGCUGCCAUCCGCAAAGGCUUUCUCGCUUGUCACCUUGCCAUGUGGAAGAAACUGGCGGAAUGGCCAAAGACUAUGACGGGUCUUCCUAGCACAUCAGGGACAACUGCCAGUGUGGUCAUCAUUCGGGGCAUGAAGAUGUAUGUAGCUCACGUAGGUGACUCAGGGGUGGUUCUUGGAAUUCAGGAUGACCCGAAGGAUGACUUUGUCAGAGCUGUGGAGGUGACACAGGACCAUAAGCCAGAACUUCCCAAGGAAAGAGAACGAAUCGAAGGACUUGGUGGGAGUGUAAUGAACAAGUCUGGGGUGAAUCGUGUAGUUUGGAAACGACCUCGACUCACUCACAAUGGACCUGUUAGAAGGAGCACAGUUAUUGACCAGAUUCCUUUUCUGGCAGUAGCAAGAGCACUUGGUGAUUUGUGGAGCUAUGAUUUCUUCAGUGGUGAAUUUGUGGUGUCACCUGAACCAGACACAAGUGUCCACACUCUUGACCCUCAGAAGCACAAGUAUAUUAUAUUGGGGAGUGAUGGACUUUGGAAUAUGAUUCCACCACAAGAUGCCAUCUCAAUGUGCCAGGACCAAGAGGAGAAAAAAUACCUGAUGGGUGAGCAUGGACAAUCUUGUGCCAAAAUGCUUGUGAAUCGAGCAUUGGGCCGCUGGAGGCAGCGUAUGCUCCGAGCAGAUAACACUAGUGCCAUAGUAAUCUGCAUCUCUCCAGAAGUGGACAAUCAGGGAAACUUUACCAAUGAAGAUGAGUUAUACCUGAACCUGACUGACAGCCCUUCCUAUAAUAGUCAAGAAACCUGUGUGAUGACUCCUUCCCCAUGUUCUACACCACCAGUCAAGGAUUUUGGAUUUGAACUCGAUUCAAGAAAGUGAUGUAACUUAUUAUCAGAGAGCCAUCUUUACAUCAAUACUAAUCUGAAUGCCAGCCAUGUGUACAGCACUAAUAAAAAGUCACUGGAGGAGGAUCCAUGGCCAAGGGUGAAUUCUAAGGACCAUAUACCUGCCCUGGUUCGUAGCAAUGCCUUCUCAGAGAAUUUUUUAGAGGUUUCAGCUGAGAUAGCUCGAGAGAAUGUCCAAGGUGUAGUCAUACCCUCAAAAGAUCCAGAACCACUUGAAGAAAAUUGCGCUAAAGCCCUGACUUUAAGGAUACAUGAUUCUUUGAAUAAUAGCCUUCCAAUUGGCCUUGUGCCUACUAAUUCAACAAACACUGUCAUGGACCAAAAAAAUUUGAAGAUGUCAACUCCUGGCCAAAUGAAAGCCCAAGAAAUUGAAAGAACCCCUCCAACAAACUUUAAAAGGACAUUAGAAGAGUCCAAUUCUGGCCCCCUGAUGAAGAAGCAUAGACGAAAUGGCUUAAGUCGAAGUAGUGGUGCUCAGCCUGCAAGUCUCCCCACAACCUCACAGCGAAAGAACUCUGUUAAACUCACCAUGCGACGCAGACUUAGGGGCCAGAAGAAAAUUGGAAAUCCUUUACUUCAUCAACACAGGAAAACUGUUUGUGUUUGCUGAAAUGCAUCUGGGAAAUGAGGUUUUUCCAAACUUAGGAUAUAAGAGGGCUUUUUAAAUUUGGUGCCGAUGUUGAACUUUUUUUAAGGGGAGAAAAUUAAAAGAAAUAUACAGUUUGACUUUUUGGAAUUCAGCAGUUUUAUCCUGGCCUUGUACUUGCUUGUAUUGUAAAUGUGGAUUUUGUAGAUGUUAGGGUAUAAGUUGCUGUAAAAUUUGUGUAAAUUUGUAUCCACACAAAUUCAGUCUCUGAAUACACAGUAUUCAGAGUCUCUGAUACACAGUAAUUGUGACAAUAGGGCUAAAUGUUUAAAGAAAUCAAAAGAAUCUAUUAGAUUUUAGAAAAACAUUUAAACUUUUUAAAAUACUUAUUAAAAAAUUUGUAUAAGCCACUUGUCUUGAAAACUGUGCAACUUUUUAAAGUAAAUUAUUAAGCAGACUGGAAAAGUGAUGUAUUUUCAUAGUGACCUGUGUUUCACUUAAUGUUUCUUAGAGCCAAGUGUCUUUUAAACAUUAUUUUUUAUUUCUGAUUUCAUAAUUCAGAACUAAAUUUUUCAUAGAAGUGUUGAGCCAUGCUACAGUUAGUCUUGUCCCAAUUAAAAUACUAUGCAGUAUCUCUUACAUCAGUAGCAUUUUUCUAAAACCUUAGUCAUCAGAUAUGCUUACUAAAUCUUCAGCAUAGAAGGAAGUGUGUUUGCCUAAAACAAUCUAAAACAAUUCCCUUCUUUUUCAUCCCAGACCAAUGGCAUUAUUAGGUCUUAAAGUAGUUACUCCCUUCUCGUGUUUGCUUAAAAUAUGUGAAGUUUUCCUUGCUAUUUCAAUAACAGAUGGUGCUGCUAAUUCCCAACAUUUCUUAAAUUAUUUUAUAUCAUACAGUUUUCAUUGAUUAUAUGGGUAUAUAUUCAUCUAAUAAAUCAGUGAACUGUUCCUCAUGUUGCUGAAUUUGUAGUUGUUGGUUUAUUUUAAUGGUAUGUACAAGUUGAGUAUCCCUUAUCCAAAAUGCUUGGGACCAGAAGUGUUUCAGAUUUUUUAAAAUUUUGGAAUAUUUGCUUUAUACUGAGCUUUUGAGUGUUCCCAAUCUGAAAUUCAAAAUGCUCUAAUGAGCAUUUCCUUUGAGCAUCAUGCCUGCUCUGAAAAAGUUUCUGAUUCUGGAGCAUUUUGGAUUUUGGAUUUUCAGAUUAGGGAUGCUUAACCUGGAUUAACAUUCUGUUGUGCCAUGAUCAUGCUUUACAGUGAGUGUAUUUUAUUUAUUUAUUAUUUUGUUUGUUUGUUUGAGAUGGAGUCUCACUCUGUCAUCCAGGCUAGAGUGCAGUGGCGUGAUCUCGGCUGACUGCAACCUCUGCCUCCCGGGUUCAAGUGAUUCUCCUGCCUCAAUCUCUCUCCCCAGAAGCUGGGAUUACAGGUGUGUGCCACCACACCCGGCUAAUUUUUUUUUUUUUUUUUGAGAUGGAGUCUAGCUCUGUCAUCCAGGCUGGAGUGCAGUGGUGUGAUCUCGGCUCCCUGCAACCUCUGCCUUCUGGGUUCCUGCGAUUCUCCUGCCUCAGCCUCCUGAGUAGCUGAGAUUACAGGCACGCGCCACUGUGCCCAGCCAAUUUUUGUAUUUUUAGUAGAGAUGGGGUUUCACAUGUCAGUCAUGCUGGUCUUGAUCUCCUGACCUCGUGAUCCACCCGCCUCGACCUCCCAAAGUACUGGGAUUACAGGCGUGAGCCACCGCAUCCGGCCUGAGUUUUAUGCUUUCAAUGUAUUUCUUACAUUUCAGUUCAAGUGAUUUUCAUGUCUCAGCCUCCUGAGUAGCUGGAACUACAGGUGCGUGCCACCAUGCCUGGCUAAGUUUUGUAUUUUUAGUAGAGAUGGGUUUUCAUCAUGUUGGCCAAGAUGGUCUUGAUCUCUUGACCUCAUGAUCCACCAGCCUAGGCCUCCCAAAGUGCUGGGAUUACAGGUGUGAGCCACCGUGCCCAGCCAACUAUGCCAUUAUUUAACCAUGUCCACACAUUCUGGUUAUUUUCAAUAUUUUGCAGAAGAUAAUUCUUGAUCGGUGUGUCUUAUGCCACAAGGAUUAAAAUAUGUAUUCAUUGCUACAAAACAAUAUCUCGAAAUUUAGCAGUUUAAAACAACAAAUAUUAUCUCCAGUUUCUGAGCCUCAGAAAUCUGAGAGUGGUUUAGCUGGGUGAUAGUCUCGUGGUUUUGGUCAAGCUACCAACCAGGGCUACAAUCUUUCGAAGGUGUCAUUGGGGCUAGAAGAUCUGCUUCCCGCAAGACUCACAGCUGUUGGCAGGAGACCUCAGUUUGUUGCCACAUGUUCCCCUCCAGAGGGCCUCUCACAACAUGGCAGUUAUUUGUCCCCAGAGCAAGCAACACCGGAGGGCAAGGAAGAAGCCAUGAUGUUUUUUGUAACCUAGCCUCUGAAAGUGUCAUACCAAUUCUGUAUUUUGUUGGUCACACAGACCAAGUCAACUACAACGUGGGAGACUCCUACACAAGGCAUGAAUUCUAGGAGGUGGGCAUUUUUAAGUGUCAUCUGGAAGGAGGCUGUCACAACCUGGAAGUUAAAAGCAUUGAUAUUCUGAAAUACAGCGUGUAUAACAUUGUUUUAGUAGGGUGUGCAAUAGUUAUGUUUUGGUAAUAGCAUUAAUGAACAAUGUUAUUUUCAUCUUCCAGACAUCUGGAAGAUUGCUCUAGUGGAGUAAAACAUCUUAAUGUAUUUUGUCCCUAAAUAAACUAUCUCACUAACAAA